AUUCCAGCUCCAAUAGCGUAUAUUAAAGUUGUUGCAGUUAAAAAGCUCGUAGUUGGAUUCCUGGUCAGAGCGGCCGGUCUGGUCCGAACGGACUAGUACUUUGAGCUGUCUUUAACCUUCCUUUAGGAGAAUCUGUGUGGCCAUUCAUUUGGUUGUGCAGGGGACCCUAAUCGUUUACUGUGAAAAAAUUAGAGUGUUUAAAGCAGGCAUUUGCUGUGAAUACAUUAGCAUGGAAUAAUAAGAUAGGACUUUGGUGCUAUUUGUUGGUUUGCACACCAAGGUAAUGAUUAACAGGGACAGUUGGGGGUAUUCGUAUUUAAGUGUCAGAGGUGAAAUUCAUGGAUUUCUGAAAGACGAACUACUGCGAAAGCAUUUACCAAGGAUGUUUUCAUUA
rnacentral:rRNA from 1 species